rnacentral:siRNA from 1 species
AUUGGAGGAGCUUAGGUACAUCCC